AACGAACGCUGGCGGCAGGCUUAACACAUGCAAGUCGAACGCAUCCUUCGGGGUGAGUGGCAGACGGGUGAGUAACGCGUGGGAACGUGCCCUUCAGUUCGGGAUAACCCAGGGAAACUUGGGCUAAUACCGGAUACGUGCGCGAGCAGAAAGAUUUAUCGCUGAAGGAUCGGCCCCCGUAUGAUUAGCUAGUUGGUGGGGUAAUGGCCCACCAAGCCGACGAUCAGUAGCUGGUGUGAGAGGAUGAUCAGCCACAUUGGGACUGAGACACGGCCCAAACUCCUACGGGAGGCAGCAGUGUGGAAUAUUGGACAAUGGGCGCAAGCCUGAUCCAGCCAUGCCGCGUGAGUGAUGAAGGCCUUAGGGUUGUAAAGCUCUUUCGUCCGGGACGAUAAUGACGGUACCGGAAGAAGAAGCCCCGGCUAACUUCGUGCCAGCAGCCGCCGUAA
rnacentral:rRNA from 1 species